UAUUGAGUUUUGUGAAAUAAUAUAUAUGUAAAUCUUGCAUUAGCGAAAUAUUGACUUUCUUUUUAAAUAAGAUUUAGACAUUUUGUAUUUGCAAUACACAUGAGUCGUGUGCUAGAAGAGGUUUUACAAAUAUCGGCCUCGUGGAGAUUUGGAAAUUUCUGGCCAAACAACAAACAACCAACAAAAAAAAUGCCGAAAAGAUGUGUAUGCAGAUGUGCAGAAGUAAGCUCCCUCUAAAAGUUUCCUUUGGCCUCGGAUGUAUCAAGGCUUAUUGACCAAGAAUGAUACGGGAAGUAAAUGAUCGAAAAUUUUCACAUCAAACCGGUUUCGUGGACCUAUAUUUAAUUAAUAAUUUUAACAUCGCGCCUUUAUUGUAUUUUUAAUAGCUUUAACCUUUUAAUAAGAUAGCUAAGAUGGUACGUGCUGUUAAUUCCUCUUUGUAUCUAAUUAAUUUUAAUUAGUAUGCGUGGAGUUAAAUUUAGUGUAAAAGCAGCAAAAUAUAUUAUUAUGUACUUCGGUUUUCAGCUGCUUACUAGUAAUAAGUCGUAGAUUUAAGUUUUUUUUAAGUUACAGUGUUUAAGUAUAAAAUCGGUAUUUUCAUAUACAUGCAUGUAUGCAUGUACUUAGGUUUUCAGCUACCUUCUAGUAAUUAGGCUUAUGGCCUUAUUCACAAAAAAAUAAAGUAGGUUUAAAGAGUUUUAUAAAUUGACGUUUUCAUGUAUUUUUCAAUUUAUAAACAUAUUUUAAAGAAACUUAAUUUUUUAUGAAUAAUGCCAUAAGACGUUAAACAUAAAAUUACAUAACAAACUACAAUUAGUAAGAAAAUAAACAUAAUUAUGUACUAAUAAUAGUUAACUAAACUAAUGUUACCAAGGUUAAGAAUGUAUUCAAUAAAGUGUUAAAAACAUUAAAAUA